CAGCCUAGCUGUAAGGCAUUAUUAUGAAUUUUUAUAGUUUGCAGUUUAUUUGCGUAUAUGAUUAUUAACAUGAUUUACAGCGUUCAGUGGAAAAGGGCCAGAUCGACGGACAGGCAUGCUAUUGUGACCACAGGGACCUUCAAAUUAAAUACUAUACGAGUGUAUAUGUAAAUACUCGUUUUACAUGAGCAGGAUAGAGAACAGACUGUACAUAUAAUCUUGAAGCGGGCAUGAAACCCUAUAGCUACAGACACAAACUCAGACACAUUUCAAUUCACACGGUUACUAGUUUACAACAACAAUCAUCAAUAAGCUUUGAUCCUGUAACUUCAUUACAAUGGCAAUAUAAAGUUUAGGCCAGCGUGGUAACAGGUCAGUUUUUCUGUAGUACUUUGCUAAAAAAAGCUAUUAAAUUAUGAAUAAGUACUGAAAAUAAGCCAUAUCAGGCAUAGAAUGACAAAAUAGCAAGAUGGUGUAAUAUGGACUUGGAAGCUGCCAUCGUUGGGACAAUCAAGGGUGGGGUACUUUAAAGACUCGAUAUCUCGAAGUUGUUUGAUUUAAAGAAAAAUGUAGUCUGAAAAAAGAAGAAUUGCAUUGAUUUCUAGAAACGCAUUGUCAACUCUUGAUUUAUCGAAAUCGAAUAUAAAUAUAUCGAAAUCGAAUAUCUCGAGUUUCUUGGAUAUCUCGAUUGUUUAACAUAUAAAAAUACCCCUUUCGUAUGUUUGAACCCGUAUCCUGUUGGAUUUACCUAUUUUAUUACAAGCGCGAAUUACCAGAAGUGGAAUUAAAGUUGCACUCGAGUAAUUGGAACUUGUAAAACUCUUCCAUACAACAUUGAGAUAACCAGAGUAGACUAUAUUCGUCCGUUUGUUUCCCGGCCUAUUUAGGCUACCAAAUUAGCUGUCAUUUGUAACAUUUUUCAAUAUAAAGAAGUGAAACUCCAGCUGCUGGAGCAGUAUUGAAUUUUCAUUAAAAACAAUUAGUUGGUCCUUUAUUUAAGGCAAGUGACCGAUUGCCAAAACAGUACAAAACAGUACAAUACAGCACAAUACAAACCAACAUAAACACAAAAUAUGAAUAAAGCAUGUAUAUUCGUUAUAUAAAUUAUAAAUGACGAAUGCGAAUUAUUGGGCUGAGAAAACGGUAUUCCUUGACAUGUGCGUGCUCAGGUUGUUCAAGAAGUUAUCCGUGUUUAAGGGCCAUGUGCGUGCUCAUUAUCAAUCGUCAAAACCAAUCGAAACUCAACUUUAACUUGAAAAUAACGCCAUGAGCAAUCGAUUUAUCCAUUUUUUUUGUCAACCAAAACGCGUCCACAUGAACAACUGGCCAAUUAGGGUGAAAACAGUGAUAUUAUUGUUAGUCCGCGUUCAAUUUCAAUUGACGGUUCAGGAAUCCAAAAUAUUUCAUGACUUAUCUCCACACUGAGACCAACCAGAGGAGAACGGUUGAUACUCGCUGAAACCGCUUCCGGCUGGCCCUAUGAUAGGAGUCAUCCAAUUAAAAACAAGUA